UCUGGUUGAUCCUGCCAGUAGUCAUAUGCUUGUCUCAAAGAUUAAGCCAUGCAUGUCUAAGUAUAAGCAAUUUAUACAGUGAAACUGCGAAUGGCUCAUUAAAUCAGUUAUCGUUUAUUUGAUAGUUCCUUUACUACAUGGUAUAACUGUGGUAAUUCUAGAGCUAAUACAUGCUUAAAAUCUCGACCUUUUGGAAGAGAUGUAUUUAUUAGAUAAAAAAUCAAUGUCUUCGGACUCUAUGAUGAUUCAUAAUAACUUUUCGAAUCGCAUGGCCCUUGUGCUGGCGAUGGUUCAUUCAAAUUUCUGCCCUAUCAACUUUCGAUGGUAGGAUAGUGGCCUACCAUGGUUUCAACGGGUAACGGGGAAUAAGGGUUCGAUUCCGGAGAGGGAGCCUGAGAAACGGCUACCACAUCCAAGGAAGGCAGCAGGCGCGCAAAUUACCCAAUCCUAAUUCAGGGAGGUAGUGACAAUAAAUAACGAUACAGGGCCCAUUCGGGUCUUGUAAUUGGAAUGAGUACAAUGUAAAUACCUUAACGAGGAACAAUUGGAGGGCAAGUCUGGUGCCAGCAGCCGCGGUAAUUCCAGCUCCAAUAGCGUAUAUUAAAGUUGUUGCAGUUAAAAAGCUCGUAGUUGAACUUUGGGCUUGGCUGGCCGGUCCGAUUUUUUUCGUGUACUGGAUCCAGCCGAGCCUUUCCUUCUGGCUAACCUUGGGUCACUUGUGGCCCUUGGCGAACCAGGACUUUUACUUUGAAAAAAUUAGAGUGUUCAAAGCAGGCGAUUGCUCGAAUAUAUUAGCAUGGAAUAAUAGAAUAAGGACGUUUGGUUCUAUUUUUGUUGGUUUCUAGGACCAUCGUAAUGAUUAAUAGGGGACGGUCGGGGGCAUCAGUAUUCAAUUGUCAGAGGUGAAAUUC
rnacentral:rRNA from 1 species